UUAGCGAUGUGCUCCAAGCCUUCGUUGAUCUUCUGGGCAGCCAUGUCGCCCAGCAGGACCUGCAGGGAUUCAAGGCCGUGACGUUAGCGGAGGUGACCUACAUUUUGGAGGGCGUGUCUGCUCUUGCCAUCUAUUGCUAACGGAAUGGAAAUAUACUCUGAUUUGUGCUUAUAUGACUGAACUGGUCAAACUAUAGUUUCACCAUUCUUUAAAAGGAACUGCAGUCAAUUACUCCACUCAAGCUCUUUCUGCAUCUCCUCCCUACAACUUCAUGAACUGAGAAGAAGGCAACAGAAUGCUGCUGGAAGGAGAUAAAGAAGUUCUCAUUCAGGUCAAAGCUGCAAGAUGCAGCAAAAGAGCAAGAGAAAUUAAUGUGUUAUGCCAUCUUACAAAUGAUACUUGUCUGGAGGGUUAUGAUUAAUUUAUAACCAUUUGCCUUGUUAAAAAACACAUGUCACAUGUAAAUGCAUGGAAAGAUAAUAACAAGGCUGCAGUUCUUUAAUCAUAAA